rnacentral:rRNA from 1 species
ACGCACGCUGGCGGCGUGCUUAACACAUGCAAGUCGCACGGAAAGGCCCUGCUUGCCGGGUACUCGAGUGGCGAACGGGUGAGUAACACGUGGGUGAUCUGCCCUGCACUUCGGGAUAAGCCUGGGAAACUGGGUCUAAUACCGGAUAGGAGCCAUUUUUAGUGUGAUGGUUGGAAAGUUUUUUCGGUGUAGGAUGAGCUCGCGGCCUAUCAGCUUGUUGGUGGGGUAAUGGCCUACCAAGGCGGCGACGGGUAGCCGGCCUGAGAGGGUGGACGGCCACAUUGGGACUGAGAUACGGCCCAGACUCCUACGGGAGGCAGCAGUGGGGAAUAUUGCACAAUGGGCGCAAGCCUGAUGCAGCGACGCCGCGUGGGGGAGGACGGCCUUCGGGUUGUAAACUCCUUUCGCUAGGGACGAAGCUUUUUGUGACGGUACCUAGAGAAGAAGCACCGGCUAACUACGUG